AUGUGCGGUUGGAUGGACAUCUUCUGCAUCAUACAGGAUCAGGACUGCAAUGCCUGGAGUUUCCCCCGUCUGUUAGCACAACAUUCAUCCAUUUAAAAACACCACGACGCGCUUUACAUCACUGCCUCACCAAUAAUAAACUGAACAUCAAUACAAGAGUUCUUGGUCACCACGUAUCUUAGUUGCCUUGUGCUUAGUUUGAUUUAUUCAAAAGUCAAAGGUUUAUGGUAGCAUUUGCGCAACAAUUAACUUUACUUUUCUAAACAGCUAUACCAUUUGAUAAUACGUGAAUAAGCACACUUACAUUUAACCCUUCCUUUUGUUUCUGAAGUCUAGCAGAAACUAUAUUGAGCAGAUCACAGCCCAGAUAUUUAGAACACUAGCAAUAUCAAUAGUAAUUUAGAUAGUAAAAUGAUACUUAGCCACAUUCAGCUGCUGGGUUGUUGAAGAAAUAAAAAGCCGUAGUAGGUAAAUGCCGUCGUCUCAAUCUUUUACGCGACCCGAUAAAUGUAUGCGCAGAAAAUCGAGAGUUGAUUGUAGAGCACAGUUAUCAAAGUAGUUUGCGGUAUUUUGUGGGAUAAUUAAAAAUAUAUAUAUUUUAAGAGUGCCCUUCCUAAUUUCUAGUGCAUAAGGAUUUACCAAUAAUCGCAGAUGGUUACCUAUAGAAAUGGGGCAUUGCCAGAUUACCUUAAUUGGGUACGCUCAUUAGUUAUGAGGUUUACGCAAAUGCCAAUAUUGAUCGUACUGCCAGACGCCAUAAUAAGGUGUGGAUGACGUAACGCAAUUGCCAAUCCUGUUCGUACUGCCAGUUAUCCUCCACCACACAGUACUGCAGCAUUAGAGCUUCACAGACUGCACUAAACUAACUACCAACCUCUACAGAAACCCCAAGCCCCGUCAUACUGGAAUCGUAACGUUCCAGUACGAACCAUCCCUAAGUAACGUAACCAGCACCUCACCUUGAGCUGAACGACGAUGAAGAUCUUGUGGUCGUCUCAUUGCAAAAUACAGCCAACAGACUUACCUUGAGGCGAUCUGGUAGUUUGUUGCUGUUGGUUUAUGUACAAAACAUUUUGACUAAACAUUUCAGUUACCCCAUUUAACUAAUUAUCUACCAAUUAACAAUGCUUGCCAGCGUACAAAAAAAAGCUAACCAAUCUGUCUUUUGGCUACUUCCUCGCUUCACAUCGCAUGAGCAUUGUCAUAUUGAUCCGGGUGUGGUCUGAGUGGCCAGAGAUGCAUGUUAGGAUACUGUGCUGUCUGAAGUCUACCGUUCUGUAGACGUGCCCCCCUCCGGAGAAACAGUGUUCAAAAGGGCUGUUGCAUCAGUUACAUGACCUGGAACAUCCGUCAAGACUGUGACAGGGACUCCCCAAGGAGAGACGCCAUGGGUAGGAUGUGAGGGCUCUUUCUCAGCGACUAGAAUACACCACAGCGCCUACGGGAGGGAACCAUUGCACACAUUUCAAUAUUCCUCUUCAUAGAUCUUGAAGCCCCAGCAAGGAUUUAUUUUCCUCCUCAGCUGAAGAAGAGCUUGGUUACAGCAUGAAGAGAACCCUAGUUGGGAUGUUACCGAGAUGGUUUCUGAUUCAAAGGGGGACCCAACUCCCAGGUCCAGCUAGCAUCAACAAAUGCAUUGCAAUUCAGCCCAAGAAAAAAUUGCAUCCCAGCACAGGAGUCCAGAAGAUACAAUCCACAGGGCCUGCCAGCCAACUAUCAUGUCGGGGCUAGAAAGGGCAGCCACGUCGCAGGCUUUCAAGCUUGAAGGACCAUUUCCUAAAAUGUUGUGAUGUAUAAUAAGUGCGUAUCCCCAUGUCAUCACGCUCACACAUGGUAUGCCUCGUCACCCUGAUCACGCCCGGAUGAAGAACCCCAGGCCAGGUAGAACCCCGACCACAUGAACAACCGAACCAGGCAGAACCCUGACCACAUGAACCAGGCCAGGCAGAACCCUGACCACAUGAACCAGGCCAGGUAGAACCCUGACCACAUGAACAACCAGGCCAGGCAGAACCCUGAC
ensembl:lncRNA